GGGGGUUCUGUUCUCAGAACAAAGCCCCUCUCUGCCCCCAGUGUACAGUCAUUUGGCAGCCUGCCCUGAAGGAGGGCAUUUUAAACAUCUUCCAGGGCUGUUAACAUCACUGCUCCUCCUUUUGUUGCCGUCUAUGAUGAGCAGAGGAGGGGGAUUGGGGGUAUUGAGGCCAUGCAGGCACUGGCGACGGAUCCGAGAGAAAUCUAUUCUUAUUUUCAGUCAUCACUUUUGACGUCAACAAGAUUUAAAAAAUAUUGUUUAAUUAACAAUAAUUGCAGAUAUAACGUCCCUAAAAACGUACUUCCAAUCAACUUUCAUCCGUACACUUUCUGGUUCAUUAGCUGCAAUAUGAGUCUGUUUAUACACUUAAAUGAUAGGGAGGCUAAACACAGUUUAAUUUAACCUUAAUUGAUAGAGAUUAAAACUGAUAAAGAUGGUAAAGACGAUAAGCUGGUUGUGGUUGGUUUCUGAACCUCUUCGUCGAUCUGAUCCACUCUCAGUGUUGAAUAGUAGGCCAUUAGCUUGUGGGUCUCUCCAAAGGGAAUGUUUUUAGGGAUUAGGGAUAUAUGAGGAUUCAUAUUUUUUAUUUUUAUGAAAAAGAUCAUGCAUACAGGUUUAAUUUUUGUUUCUCUGCUAAGUGCCUUAUUGUAAUGAUAACAUUGGCGAUUGCUUCGUUCUGUAAUCCAUGUGGUCCGAGUUGAUUGUUUGAUGUAACCCUCUCAUACUUACCCAUGGCUGUGUCAAAGUACUGGGUCUUAUUAGAUGUUUAGGUGAUGUAUACGUGCUUUGUUUUUUAGGAAUGUCUAAGACGUGCUGGGUCUUGCUCAUGAACCUCGUUCAUGUUUUUCCUUUGAAUUUCUGAAAUAUGCAAAUACCAACAUUUACACAAUUUACAUUCACUAAUCCAAUAUGUGCCUUAUUUUGUAUUUUGAAUACUUCUGUAUGCUUUAACCAAACGUAAUGAACGAACCAAAGGUCAGCUUCAGCAAUACAUGUAUGCACACCUUCCAUGUCCUACUGUGUUCCAUGUGCAAGAUGUAAUUAUGCUUUCCAGAUUCUAUUUCAUUAAUCGUUUAUUAAUAAAUGUACGUCAAAGCAUAACGCGCUUAUGUGUUUGUUCCGAUGACCAGAUGUUGGGCAGGACGAGGUAGUGGCUCGGGCCUCAGCCUACCAGCCCAAAGGUUUCAGGUUCAAUUCCCAUGCUCAGAGCAGUAUGUAAACAUUACGUUACCAACACUAAGCAGCAGUAUAUAAAAAGUACUUUCCA
ensembl:lncRNA